CUUAAUUCCUUCAGAGCAGUUUUAGGUUCACAGCAAAAUUGAGGGGAAGGUACAGAGAUUUCCCAUAUAUUCUCUGUCCCCACACAUACACAGCCUCCUUCAUUGUCAACAUCACCACCAGAGUGGGGACAUUUGUUACAGCUGAUAAACCCACACUGACACAUCAUAAUCACCCAAAGUCCCUUAUGGUUAAUGGUUAACAUUAUGGUUCACUCACUGUGCUGUCCAUUCUGUGGGUUUAGACACAUGUAUAAUGACAUGUAUCCAUCAUUAUGACACAGCUUCAAACUCACUAUCACAACUGUGAUACCAGGUUUCCAGACCCUUCAGCCAGGUGACAACUGCCUCAGUGUAAAAUGUUGACAACAGACCACCACACAUGCAGCAUUUGGUACUAUUGAGAAGGCCUGCUUCCUGCCCUAGGGUACUCAGG